GGAACAAGAAAAACAAGGGCUCACCCUUGUUCUCACCAAAUUCACCAAAUUGACAAGGGAAAAUCGAUGAUUAUCAAUUGCAUGUGGUAGAAUUUCGAUCAGUUACCCAUAUCCAAUCAAGUGGCGUGAAGGAAGAAGGCUCAAGUGCUAAGAAAACGGAAGGUUCACAAGAUCGAGUACUCACUAGAUGGGUAGUAAAUCCUCGACUUAGGCAAUU
rnacentral:lncRNA from 1 species